GGGGGAUAUUGCACAAUGGAGGAAACUCUGACACAGCGACGCCGCGUGAGCGAAGAAGGCCUUCGGGUCGUAAAGCUCAAUAGUAUGGGAAGAAAUAAAUGACGGUACCAUACGAAAGCCCCGGCUAACUACGUGCCAGCAGCCGCGGUAAUACGUAGGGGGCGAGCGUUGUCCGGAAUUACUGGGCGUAAAGAGCACGUAGGCGGCUAUAAAAGUCAGAUGUGAAAAACCUGGGCUCAACCGAGGGUAUGCAUCUGAAACUAAAUAGCUUGAGUCAAGGAGAGGAGAGCGGAAUUCCUGGUGUAGCGGUGAAAUGCGUAGAGAUCAGGAAGAAUACCAGUGGCGAAAGCGGCUCUCUGGACUUGAACUGACGCUGAGGUGCGAAAGCGUGGGGAGCAAAC
rnacentral:rRNA from 1 species